UGUACAUUUCCGCCAUUAACUACCUAGGAGCGAUCAUACACUUCUCACAAAAGAAAGCAAUCUGGUUCUUCUUCUUCAUUCACUUCUGAUCUUUUUGGGUCCAAGGAGUCCUCUGCUUCAUCCUCUUCAUCGAUAUUUGAGUCCAUCUUGGUGCCGUCUCCAAAGCUUUGGUACCACAACUCCGGUGCUCUUCUUAGUACGCAUCAUACUUUUUUUCUUGAACCUUCGGCAGACGUCAAGAAGCCGGCGGUGACUACCUUUCAGGAACCCAUCUAAAGUUUCCUCACCAUGGAAUAUGUCCGCCUACAAGCAUUUCAACAACAACUAGAUUUCAAACUCGCAAGAUUGCAACGGAGGAAACAUUUGCUUAGGAAACGAAACAUACACCGCAACGAUUCCACACACCAGUUGGAAAAGCUUCAUCAAGUUUGCGCUGACGAAAGAUAAAUUUCAAAUCAAAUCCGAAGGACAAAAUCCAGACUACACCGAUUAAAACGUCGCUCGCACCAAAUUAAAAAAUCUGUAAUGGAAGAUAUUAUGUGCACAACCUUCAUUAGAAAUCAACCUUCUUUUCCAGGUCGGUCCCUCUACCUUUUAAGUAUGUUUUGCUUUGCCUUUCCAGGUCGGAUAUUGCUUUGGAAUUUUUCAGAACUUUUAACAAGGUCAAAUAUGUUAAAAUUAAAACGCAAAGAGCGAAAUGAGAAUUAGUCCAAAUCAUGAUUGCCUAAAAUCCUUUUUUUUACAAAAAAAAAGUGAUGAAAAGUACGUGAAAUUAUUAAAAGAAUAUAUUUGGAACUCCAUCUCU